rnacentral:rRNA from 1 species
UGGGGAAUAUUGCACAAUGGGCGCAAGCCUGAUGCAGCCAUGCCGCGUGUAUGAAGAAGGCCUUCGGGUUGUAAAGUACUUUCAGCGGGGAGGAAGGCGAUAAGGUUAAUAACCUUGUCGAUUGACGUUACCCGCAGAAGAAGCACCGGCUAACUCCGUGCCAGCAGCCGCGGUAAUACGAAGGGUGCAAGCGUUAAUCGGAAUUACUGGGCGUAAAGCGCACGCAGGCGGUCUGUCAAGUCGGAUGUGAAAUCCCCGGGCUCAACCUGGGAACUGCAUUCGAAACUGGCAGGCUAGAGUCUUGUAGAGGGGGGUAGAAUUCCAGGUGUAGCGGUGAAAUGCGUAGAGAUCUGGAGGAAUACCGGUGGCGAAGGCGGCCCCCUGGACAAAGACUGACGCUCAGGUGCGAAAGCGUGGGGAGCAAACA